UCCCAAACCCCUGUGAACAUACCUUAAUGUUGCCUCGGCGGAUCAGCCCGCGCCCCGUAAAACGGGACGGCCCGCCAGAGGACCCAAACUCUAAUGUUUCUUAUUGUAACUUCUGAGUAAAACAAACAAAUAAAUCAAAACUUUCAACAACGGAUCUCUUGGUUCUGGCAUCGAUGAAGAACGCAGCAAAAUGCGAUAAGUAAUGUGAAUUGCAGAAUUCAGUGAAUCAUCGAAUCUUUGAACGCACAUUGCGCCCGCUGGUAUUCCGGCGGGCAUGCCUGUUCGAGCGUCAUUUCAACCCUCAAGCCCCCGGGUUUGGUGUUGGGGAUCGGCUCUGCCUUCUGGCGGUGCCGCCCCCGAAAUACAUUGGCGGUCUCGCUGCAGCCUCCAUUGCGUAGUAGCUAACACCUCGCAACUGGAACGCGGCGCGGCCAUGCCGUAAAACCCCAACUUCUGAAUGUUGACCUCGGAUCAGGUAGGAAUACCCGCUGAACUUAAGCAUAUCAAUAAGCGGAGGAAAAGAAACCAACAGGGAUUGCCCUAGUAACGGCGAGUGAAGCGGCAACAGCUCAAAUUUGAAAUCUGGCUUUCGGGCCCGAGUUGUAAUUUGUAGAGGAUACUUUUGAUGCGGUGCCUUCCGAGUUCCCUGGAACGGGACGCCAUAGAGGGUGAGAGCCCCGUCUGGUUGGAUGCCAAAUCUCUGUAAAGUUCCUUCGACGAGUCGAGUAGUUUGGGAAUGCUGCUCUAAAUGGGAGGUAUAUGUCUUCUAAAGCUAAAUAUUGGCCAGAGACCGAUAGCGCACAAGUAGAGUGAUCGAAAGAUGAAAAGCACUUUGAAAAGAGAGUUAAAAAGUACGUGAAAUUGUUGAAAGGGAAGCGUUUAUGACCAGACUUGGACUUGGUUAAUCAUCUGGGGUUCUCCCCAGUGCACUUUUCCAGUUCAGGCCAGCAUCAGUUUUCGCCGGGGGAUAAAGGCUUCGGGAAUGUAGCUCUCUUCGGGGAGUGUUAUAGCCCGUUGCGUAAUACCCUGGCGGAGACUGAGGUUCGCGCUUCUGCA
rnacentral:rRNA from 1 species